UACGAAGGGGGCUAGCGUUGUUCGGAAUUACUGGGCGUAAAGGGCUCGUAGGCGGCCAACUAAGUCAGACGUGAAAUCCCUCGGCUUAACCGGGGAACUGCGUCUGAUACUGGAUGGCUUGAGUUUGGGAGAGGGAUGCGGAAUUCCAGGUGUAGCGGUGAAAUCCGUUGAUAUCGUGGGGAACACCAAAAGCGAAGGCAAACUCCUGGCCAUCUCCUGACACUCAUGAGACGAAAGCGUGGGGAGCGAAUAGG
rnacentral:rRNA from 1 species